UUAAAUUGAAGAGUUUGAUCAUGGCUCAGAUUGAACGCUGGCGGCAGGCCUAACACAUGCAAGUCGAACGGUAACAGGAAGCAGCUUGCUGCUUCGCUGCCGAGUGGCGGACGGGUGAGUAAUGUCUGGGAAACUGCCUGAUGGAGGGGGAUAACUACUGGAAACGGUGGCUAAUACCGCAUAACGUCGCAAGACCAAAGAGGGGGACCUUCGGGCCUCA
rnacentral:rRNA from 1 species